AAGGGGAACGUAACCCGGACGAAACGUCGGACUAAUACCGCAUAAAACAGGGGCACCGCAUGGUGAUAUUUGUUAAAGAAAUUCGCUGAUAGAUGGGCAUGCGUUCCAUUAGGUAGUUGGUGAGGUAACGGCUCACCAAGCCGACGAUGGAUAGGGGAACUGAGAGGUUGGUCCCCCACACUGGUACUGAGACACGGACCAGACUCCUACGGGAGGCAGCAGUGAGGAAUAUUGGUCAAUGGGCGGGAGCCUGAACCAGCCAAGUCGCGUGAAGGAAGAAGGAUCUAUGGUUCGUAAACUUCUUUGCAGGGGAAUAAAGUGCAGGACGUGUCCUGUUUUGUAUGUACCCCGAGAAUAAGGAUCGGCUAACUCCGUG
rnacentral:rRNA from 1 species